CUAGAGUUAUAUAAAGCUAUAACCAUAUAAUGCCAUAUACUGUCUUCGGUGACACAUUUCAGCAGAAUGGAAGCUCUUAGGAUUAGGGUUUUACUGUCCUGUAGAUUCAGUGUCUGUUACUAAUUACUUUUAUCUUAUAUCAGCACAUUUGACAGUAUCACUGGGUGCAUUAGAAGAAAGAGCAAUAAAUAGUGUAGUUAUAAUGUACAGC